ACCGGUUACGAAAAUAUAGAUGUUUAAGUUUAUAUAUAGAGGCAUGGGGUUUAAAUAUAGAUCCAUAAGUUUGACUACAGCUACAUCGUUUUAGGUAGACAUCUAGGUUUAAAUAUAGAUGUUUAAAUUUGAAAAUAGAUGUCUGGGUUUAAGUAUAGAUGUCUAGGUUUAAAUAUAUUGUCUAGUUUUGAAUAUAGAUGCAUAAGUUUGACUACAGGUACAUAGUUUUAGGUAAAGACAUCUAGGUUUAAAUAUAGAUGUCUAAAUUUGAAUAUAGAUGUCUAGGUUUAAAUAUAUUGUCUAGUUUUGAAUAUAGAUGCAUAAGUUUGACUACAGGUACAUCGUUUUAGGUAAAGACAUCUAGGUUUAAAUAUAGAUGUCUAAAUUUGAAUAUAGAUGUCUAGGUUUAAGUAUAGAUGUCUAGGUUUAAAUAUAUUGUCUAGUUUUGAAUAUAGAUGCAUAAGUUUGACUACAGCUACAUAGUUUUAGGUAAAGACAUCUAGGUUUAAAUAUAGUUGUCUAAAUUUGAAUAUAGAUGUCUGGGUUUAAGUAUAGAUGUCUAAGUUUAAAUAUAUUGUCUAGUUUUGAAUAUAGAUGGAUAAGUUUGACUACAGGUACAUAGUUUUAGGUAAAGACAUCUAGGUUUAAAUAAAGAUGUCUAAAUUUGAAUAUAGAUGUCUGGGUUUAAGUAUAGAUGUCUAGGUUUAAAUAUAUUGUCUAGUUUUGAAUAUAGAUGCAUAAGUUUGACUACAGGUACAUCGUUUUAGGUAAAGACAUCUAGGUUUAAAUAUAGAUGUCUAAAUUUGAAUAUAGAUGUCUGGGUUUAAGUAUAGAUGUCUGGGUUUAAGUAUAGAUGUCUAGGUUUAAAUAUAUUGUCUAGUUUUGAAUAUAGAUGCAUAAGUUUGACUACAGCUACAUCGUUUUAGGUAAAGACAUCUAGGUUUAAAUAUACAUGUCUAAAUUUGAAUAUAGAUGUCUAGGUUUAAGUAAAGAUGUCUAGGUUUAAAUAUAUUAUCUAGUUUUGAAUAUAGAUGCAUAAGUUUGACUACAGGUACAUCGUUUUAGGUAAAGACAUCUAGGUUUAAAUAUAGAUGUCUAAAUUUGAAUAUAGAUGUCUGGGUUUAAGUAUAGAUGUCUGGGUUUAAAUAUAUUGUCUAGUUUUGAAUAUAGAUCCAUAAGUUUGACUAUAGA